GGAGAGGUGUCCGAGCGGUCGAAGGAGCACGCCUGGAAAGUGUGUAUACGGCAACGUAUCGGGGGUUCGAAUCCCCCCCUCUCCGCCA
rnacentral:tRNA from 1 species